UACGUAGGGUGCGAGCGUUGUCCGGAAUUACUGGGCGUAAAGAGCUCGUAGGUGGUUUGUCACGUCGUCUGUGAAAUUCCGGGGCUUAACCUCGGGCGUGCAGGCGAUACGGGCAAUACUUGAGUGCUGUAGGGGAGACUGGAAUUCCUGGUGUAGCGGUGAAAUGCGCAGAUAUCAGGAGGAGCACCAAUGGCGAAGGCAGGUCUCUGGGCAGUUACUGACGCUGAGGAGCGAAAGCAUGGGUAGCGAACAGGAUUA
rnacentral:rRNA from 1 species